UUUCCGUAGGUGAACCUGCGGAAGGAUCAUUACUGAGUGAGGGCCCUCUGGGUCCAACCUCCCACCCGUGCUUAUUGUGCCUUGUUGCUUCGGUGCGCCCUCGUCUCGGCCGCCGGGGGGCUUCUGCCCCCGGGUCCGCGAGCACCGGAAACCCCAUUGAACUCUGUCUGAAGAUUGCAGUCUGAGCAUAAACUAAAUAAGUUAAAACUUUCAACAACGGAUCUCUUGGUUCCG
rnacentral:misc_RNA from 1 species